rnacentral:rRNA from 1 species
UACGAAGGGGGCUAGCGUUGUUCGGAAUUACUGGGCGUAAAGCGCGCGCAGGCGGUUUUUCAAGUCAGUGGUGAAAGCCCGGAGCUCAACUCCGGAACUGCCAUUGAAACUGUGAAACUUGAGGAUGAGAGAGGUGAGUGGAAUUCCCAGUGUAGAGGUGAAAUUCGUAGAUAUCUGGAGGAACACCAGUGGCGAAGGCGGCUUCCUGGACCACAACUGACGCUGAGACGCGAAAGCGUGGGGAGCGAACAGG